UAUUAUAUAUUCAUUUUAAUACUUUAACCUUGACAGGUUUAUCCUAAAGGACGGCGCGUGUAAUAUUUUGGUUCACAAUAAGACUUACUUUUACACCGGCAAAUAUACUAAUUCAAGACCAGUCCAAUUGCAACUUUAUUCCGUUGCAAAAAGGAUUGUUUCACAAUUCAGCUUUAAACCGUAUUUUGCGUUUUCAAAAUUUUACAGGGUACUUUUUUAAAUAAAAUAUUUAUUACGGGGGUAUUAUUAAGAAUAUGUAUCAGGUAAUUAUUAGUGAUCAUUAAAUCAUCUAAAAUUAGGUAUAAUACAGAAAAAAAUCAAUAUAAAUGUUUUUUAUACUGUAUUCCAUAAAAAAAUGUGUAGAAAUCGAAUAAAAUAGUUAAAAAAUGCUAGGAAUUAAACUAACAUAAACAAAGCCGCGCGCUACUGUUUAUCACCACGCUUCAUGGUGUUUAUUCAUAUAUCUAUCAGAGCAUGCGCAGUGCCGUCCCGGGCUACCCUUGAACACUCUUUACAACAAACAUUUAAAAAUAAUAAUUAAUUCGCAUUAAUAUAUCAAAAUAAUGAUGUAAAUAUUUAAAAAAGUCCUUAUUACACAUUUUUCAGAAGAAAGUAUGUUAAAAUCCAUUCAGUUGCAGUCGCAAUCAGCUAAGAUUUGAGCCCGUCGAGUCGGAACUGUUAAAUAUGCGUGAUAGCUUUUAGUCAUAUCCUAGUCUUGACCCGCAAAUGUCGCGCAGUCCUCACUAAUAGGGAAACCGUGUAACACGUCGGCCACAAGUUCGAUAACAGUUAUCUUUCAAAAAUUCUUAAGUUAAAAAAGUUUUAAAAGUUUUUCUUUUAAGGUAAAUUAAAGUUGUGUUAAACUUUUUGAGCCGAAAAUUAUUGUCUUGAACAAAAUAAACUUUCUAUAUACGCAAAUGUGUUUUAAAAUGCAGUAAAUAAGUUUUUUUUUUAAAUUUAAUCAAAUCAUAUUAGUGAACAAAGCCAAAUAUAAUUCCGGUAAUAAUUCGGAAGUUAUUAUUUUUCAAGUUGUAAAGUUCGUAGUGUGGCAACAAGUGACAAUAAUUAAUGUGUGCCGCCUCAGAGCGGGCGGUGAUCGAAAUAUUUGUUCCGUUCUUAAUUAAUUCAUAGACAGUUUUAUUCGGGUGUUAAUAAAAUUAUUUGUUGUAGAACAAAACCAGCUACUGCUGCAGUAGCUCUUAUAUUCUCCGUAUAUAAGUAAAUAAGAAAGCAAGAGAUGGCUAACCUGUGGGCCGCACUGAAGCAUUGUUUUUGCGGCGAAACGAAGGAACAGGAAACCCAAACAGCAGAUAAUGACAACACCUCUGUGUUAACCUUUAACUCUCACUGCAACUCUUUUUUAAACGCGAAUACUCACAGACAGGCACGGGGGUUUAGGUAUGCCUGCACGGUGCAAAAACCAGUUGAGAAUAAAAUGGCCACUGCAAGAGAAAGGGAACAUAUGCAAGCCAAUUUAGUACAGGCCGCCUUCGUAACGCACCACAUCUAGGGUGUACGUAGAUGCACGUAGACCGGCAUCCCCGUGACAACACCUGUGCUUGCGAUAUGAGGGGGGCACCCAUCGAGCGAGAGACGACCGUACAAUUGAGUUGGACCACGACCAGGUGUUUAUGGGCUAAGACCAAAUACAAGCUGACUGCAAUCGAUACACGGAUGGACCAGUGAAUGGACUGGAUAUAGAACAUAAGGAUAAAGGGUAUUUUCAAUAAGAGUUUUUUAUUAGAGUAAGUAUUCAGACAUUUCGGUGGCUAUUAACCAUCUUGCUUAUAAUGCUCAUAAUUUCGUAUAUUUUCCAUCAUGCUCACAAGUUAUUAUACAUAUUAUUAUGCAUGAGAAUUAAAAAAAAAACCAACACGUUUAAAAACUGUUGCUGUAAUAAGCAGUAGUAAUAAAUGUAUUAGCCUGUGAAGUUAUAAUUUAACAUUAUUUUAGUUUUGUGACCCAUAAAUCGUAAAUUAUGAAUAAGAUAUUGAAUAGGUUCGGCCUGCUGCUUGGCCUGCGUUCCUGUGGGAUAAAAAUAGUCUAUAUGUUAUUCUAGUCUAUAAUCUACCCCUUUACUAAAUAUUAUCCCAUUUCCUUCAGCGGUUUUGAUGUGUUUCAGUAACAAAAAUACACACAAACUUUCGCAUUUAUAAUAUUAGUAAGAUAAAUCUAAUAACCUAAACCUUAAAUGUUAUUUAGCUACUAGGAUUGAAAAGAAAUAUUUUAUAAAAAAAUAUAUUAUGUAUGUAUAUAAAUAUAAAACAUUUCAUCCUACUAGUAUUAAAAGUGCGAAUUUGUGUAUUUUUGUUUGUUACUUCUUCACGUCAGAAUUGCCGAAGGUAUUUAAAGAAAUCGAGAUUAAAUUUGGAACAGGGGUAGAUUAUGGUCUGGUAUAAUAUGUAGGACACUUUUUAUCUCACUAGAAGGAGGGCGAAGCCAUUGUCCGAAGCUAGUUCAAUUUAUUUUGCAAAUAUAUAAACAUUCAGAGCGGUAUGUUAAGAAAAAUACCAGGGUUUCGCAGACCACUACCUAAUUGAGAACCGCUGCUCUACCGUUACCAUUUUGUAGCAAUCAUUCAUCAUUUGAUCAGACAUUUGGGUAUUAUUGGUAAAGGUGUGUUUGUGAAUUUUAUAUCUCUUAUACUGUAACAUACAUAGACUACUAAUAUUUUAUCUAAUAUUUAUAUUACAUAUUCUGGUCACCUAACUCUUUAUAUUAUUUCGUAACAAAAACACAAAACAAUGUUUGAGUUUUUGACAAACAGACGUUUUAACUAUUAGAAGUGAGUUUAUGAAUAAAUAUUUAAUUUAAUAAUUAUUGAAAAAAAAAUACAUAUACAAAUACCUAUACAAGUAUACAAAUACCUAUAUACUUAUUUUUUGUGGUUUUAAGUAGACCGUUGGAUAAGAAGUCUAUUUUAAAGCUCACGACAGAUGGGAACCAAGUUCAGACUGUCGUAAACUAGACUUGCAGAGAUGUGUGAUAGAGUUGAGUAAACUAUAUAUUUUAUAAAGAUUUACAUAUGUAAUUACGUAGUAAUAAUUAUAUAUAUUUAUUCACAUUAUAUACCGUAUAUAUUACAUUUACAAAUAUCUAUAUAUUCCAUGAUUUUGUGGGAUGUUUGUUAUGUAGUCUAUUUCAAAGUAUACGACAUACAAGAACCUAGUUCGGACUGUCGUAAGAUAGACAUUGAAUAAUUGUAAUGAUGUCGAAUAUAGUAUUCUGAAAGUUUUAGACAAUACUAAGCGACAGGGGUUUGUGUAUAGAAGUUUGAAAAGACACAUAUAUUUUAUAAAUUUUUAUUAACCAUUUGUUUAGUAAAUAAUUCUUCUUUUUAUUAAUGAAUGAAUGAUGUAAAUAUUAUUCAAUAAAAGUUGUUGAUAAAAUUACACAAUUAUCUGUUUUAAGAAUAUACUUCUGAAAUCUUAUUAAAUGUGUAAACUUGAUGAAGACGUGUUGUACUGGAAGAUUUUUAUCAUUCACUUACUCCAAUUUAAAAAAAGACCUGUCACACAUUACAUCAUUUUCAAAUUUAAAAUUUUCUUUGAUUUUUGUAAUGAAAAAGUGGUUACUAUCGUCUGGCGCUGGGCCCCUAAUUAUGGUGUUCUCUUGUGGGCCCUUGGCCUUGGGCCUUGGGGGCCGAGAGUGGAGUUUUCCUUUUAGCCAAGUUUUAGUUUCUUACGACCCCUAAAGUGGAUUCGUGGAGACUGCUUUUAUACAUAAAAUACUUUCAAUCAAUAUGCCUCGGUGCUCACAUACCUAUGCAUACCGACAAACUGAAAACAUGUUUCUAUAAUAAUCUAAGAAAAGCAAAUAUGUUCUAUUAAAUACAUUUAAAAAUACUGUUUUCAAUCUCCUAAGAAGUUGGUUAAUAUACUAAAACUUGCUCCUUAGUUAAACAAACCCUGAAAACCACCUCAAAAUCGAGUCAGCCAAUCGCGAGGUAAUUACGGACAAACAUUCAUAUGUACUGGUCAAACUGAACCUGUUUUUGAAGUCGGUUAAAAACAUGAUCCUAAGUUUUGUAUUUAAUAGUUUGUGCGUGACUGUACCAAAACUUAUUGAACUAGGGGUCGAAAGUGGAUGGAUUAAUGGCUAUAUUUUUGUACGAAAAUCCACUCUUACCUCCUUUGGGGGGCGAGUGUGAACUACGUUAAGGGGUUAAGAGGACAUCGAUGAACACACAUUUUUUACAGUUUAAGAGCUGACAGUAACAUCAAUUGUGUGAUGUGAUAGCUCAAUAUUUUUAUAUUAAACGAUACUGCAAGUAGGACACGCAUUCAAUGAUUUUCGCUAAAGAUACAUAUUAGACAAAUUUUUUAAGUGUAGUAAAAAAUCUUCCUGUAUUAUGUUAUUGUACAAAGUUUGAGAUUCCAGUCUAUUUCAAUGUUUUGUUUAAUAAACAACAAAGUUCACAUAAAAUGGACAGUUAUUCGACAAAUGUAAAUAAAAACAAAUAUAUAUUGUAAUAUUUUUCUACUAAUAUUAUAUAAAUACAUAUAUUUUUUAAAUGAUAUACGGAAUGUUUGUAAUGUAGUCUAUUUUUGAGUACACGACAAAUAGGAAUCAAGUUCGGAUUGUCGUCGAAUAGACAUAAAAUGUAUUGUGAUGUCAAAACUAAGUAACUGAUACAAGGUAACAAGUUUUGGGUAUGUAUGCUAUAUCUUUCUCUUUUUAUAGAAACUCUUUGCUAUGUAUUGUAUAUAUUGGUAAAAUAUUCACAACCUCCCUGGUUUAAAUGAAUCUUUAAACAUAAAAACAAUAACUCAUUAUAGAAUUUUCUAAAUGGUUUUUUUGUUCAUUGAAACGGUAUAAGAUCUAAUUUAUCUUUGAUGAUAUUAGUAAUACAGUUCAAUGUGAGUUUGUUAAUAUUUUGCCAAUAAACCUGUUUAAUAAUGAUAUAUAUUCUUCUAUAAUGUAUUUGUAGGACGUGACAAAUUGGAACAAAGUUCGGAUCGUCAUCAAAAGGAUCUUCUAUUUAUAAAUAACUGCAUGUGAUGUCGUACUAAUGGACACACAUGAUGUAGUCAAAUAUUUUAUAUACAUAUAAUAUAUUAAUAUAUAUUAUAUUUUGUAUGUUUGUUGGAUGAGUAAGGUGCGUUUGUGUCUGAUCAAAUCAGUAACGCAUUACAUAAAUUCAUCGAAUUUUAAUCAUCUUUAGCUUCAAUUUUAUUGGCACGAUCCAGCUUGUAGAAAUAUACAUAUGUACGGUUAAAUAACCACAUUAUAAAAUUGUAGUUAUGUGUAAUGUAUAUGUGAAAAAAAUAACCCGACUUUACUAGGUAUUUCUAUGACUUGUAUAUAUCCACGUCCCUAUACUAAGUCACUAAUUUCAUAAUGACCCCCUCUUAAAACUAAUGACAACAAAAGGUUUACUGACUGUCUAUGUAGAACAUCAACAAUACAUAAUUCAGACAGACAUAGCUCUACUUCAGAAACCAUCACAAUAUAAUCUGAAUUUACUUUUCCUCCCCUUCAUUAUCUACAAACCAAAUUACCUAAAAUUCCAUUACCCGUUCGUCUAUGAGCUCGUGAGCAACCAGAUAUCAGAACUCAGCCAUGGCUGGACUUCCAUCAUAAAAUAUCAAAGCCCCCGUACUUUUUCAAUAUUCCAGUUGAUCAACCCUGAAAAAUACUGAUACUCUUCAAAUACCUUCGUGUCCUCAAAUCGUUGCUAAAGACUUAUUCUAAUUGUCUAGAAGCAAAUAUUUAAAACGAUAUUCUAUCUAAAUGUUCAGGACACAUAUGUAUACAUAAUAUAUAUUUUCCAGUCGGGAGUAAAAAAACUGAAUUUUGAAAUUCUAUCAAUUUAGUGUAAGUAAAAAUGUUCAAGUAGAUAUUCAAAUACUCAAUUGAUGUUCAAUAAAUUGAUGUUCAAUAAAUCGAUGUUCAAUGUUCAUUAUAAUAAGGAAUACAAGUUUUAUUAAAGUGCAAGCUGAUGGUUUAAAAACAUGACCAUAAGUGUAACUCGGUUACCUAACACAGAAUAUUUUUGACGCUCGAAUCAAAAAUAUGGCACAGGAAUACAACCUUGGACUUUAGUUCAACUUGUACUUGGUAGACCUAGUAAAUAUUCCAGAGCUUAAUGAAAUGUUUUAAUCAUGUAGUUAAAUAAUCGUCGAUAAAAUUGCUCAACACAUUAAUUGAUACCAGUAGACAUGAACAUACAUAGUUCGUUUUAACUGGAUUUAAUUAAUAUUAAAUUCCAAGUUAAUGUGUUGAAGAAUAAAUUGAAUGUGAAACUGUUUUUCUUGUACUAGCAAAAAACAAAAACGAAUGUAUGUUGUAAAUUGAUAUUUCAUUGUUAUGUGCAAACAAUUUUACCGACGAUGGUUUUAGAAUUAGAAAAAAUAUAUUAUCAUGUAUACGUAAUUAAAUGUAUAAAUAUCUGAUCUCUUUAGACAAUAAACUUUCUAAGUGUCAAUAAUGUCGUUUUAUUACCCCUACUAACACAAUAAUAAUUAAUAGGGUUGAUGACUAACUAUUACUUUACUGUCCGUCUUAUUGAUUAUUUCAAAACAUUAGACACGUAUUUUUUAUUGUCUUACGGAAACAAAUACUUUUAAAGAUAUAUCGUUUUGAAAUAUCGA